AUGCAAGUCGAGCGAGGCGGGGGGCAACCCCCAGUCGAGCGGCGAACGGGUGAGUAACGCGUGGAUAACCUGCCCUGAGGUGGGGAACAACCGAGGGAAACUUCGGCUAAUACCGCAUAACACCGAGAGGUCAAAGGGGGCUCGCAAGAGCUUCCGCCGCAGGAGGGGUCCGCGUCCGAUUAGCUAGUUGGUGGGGUAAAGGCCUACCAAGGCGACGAUCGGUAGCCGGCCUGAGAGGGUGAUCGGCCACACUGGAACUGAGACACGGUCCAGACUCCUACGGGAGGCAGCAGUGGGGAAUUUUGCGCAAUGGGCUAACGCCUGACGCAGCAACGCCGCGUGGAGGAUGAAGGUCUUUGGAUUGUAAACUCCUGUCAGCAGGGAAAAAGCGACUACGGUUAAUACCCGUGGGAGUUGAUUGUACCUGCAGAGGAAGCCCCGGCUAACUCUGUGCCAGCAGCCGCGGUAAUACAGAGGGGGCAAGCGUUAUUCGGAAUUAUUGGGCGUAAAGGGCGCGUAGGCGGCUUUGCAAGUGGCGGGUGAAAUCCCUCGGCUUAACCGAGGAACUGCCUGCCAGACUGUGAGGCUUGAGACCGGGAGAGGUGAGUGGAAUUCCCAGUGUAGCGGUGAAAUGCGUAGAUAUUGGGAGGAACACCAGUGGCGAAGGCGGCUCACUGGACCGGAACUGACGCUGAGGCGCGAAAGCGUGGGGAGCAAACAGGAUUAGAUACCCUGGUAGUCCACGCCGUAAACGAUGAGUGCUUGGUGUAGCGGGUAUCGACCCCUGCUGUGCCGAAGUCAACACAUUAAGCAC
rnacentral:rRNA from 1 species